CUGCAAGUCGACGGGCUGUUUAUGCAGCCAGUGGCGGACGGGUGAGUAACACGUAGGUGACCUACCCCAAAGUCUGGGACAACUAGGAGAAAUCUUAGCUAAUCCUGGAUGUGGACAUCUACUUUGGUGGAUGUUUAAAGCUUCGGCGCUUUGGGAUGGGCCUGCGGCGCAUCAGGUAGUUGGUGGGGUAAUGGCCUACCAAGCCGACGACGCGUAGCUGGUCUGAGAGGACGAUCAGCCACAGGGGUACUGAGACACGGACCCCACUCCUACGGGAGGCAGCAGUUAGGAAUCUUCCGCAAUGGGCGAAAGCCUGACGGAGCGAUACCGCUUGAAGGACGAAGCCCUUCGGGGUGUAAACUUCUGAACUCGGGACGAUAAUGACGGUACCGAGGUAAUAGCACCGGCUAACUCCGUGCCAGCAGCCGCGGUAAUACGGAGGGUGCGAGCGUUACCCGGAUUUACUGGGUGUAAAGGGCGUGUAGGCGGUCUCUCAAGUCCGAUGCUAAAGACCGAAGCUCAACUUCGGGGGUGCGUUGGAUACUGUGAGGCUAGACGGUCGGAGAGGGUAGCGGAAUUUCCGGAGUAGCGGUGAAAUGCGCAGAUACCGGAAGGAACGCCAAUAGCGAAAGCAGCUACCUGGACGAUUUGUGACGCUGAGGCGCGAAAGCGUGGGGAGCAAACCGGAUUAGAUACCCGGGUAGUCCACGCCCUAAACGAUGAGUGCUGGGUGUCCGACAUCUGUUGGGUGCCGUAGCUAACGCGUUAAGCACUCCACCUGGGAAGUACGGUCGCAAGACUGAAACUCAAAGGAAUUGACGGGGGCCCGCACAAGCGGUGGAGCAUGUGGUUUAAUUCGAAGCAACGCGCAGAACCUUACCAGGGUCUUGACAUCCACGGAA
rnacentral:rRNA from 1 species